ensembl:lncRNA
GGCAACGCCGGAUCCUUAAUCCACUGAGCAAGGCCAGGGGUCGAACCCGCCACCUCAUGGCUCCCAGUCGGAUUCGUUAACCACUGCACCACGACGGGAACGCCCGGGGCCUCUUUAAAAGACCAUGAAAUAUCUAAGCCAUAUUUGGCGGAAACCGCUGCUUUUCUACUGGGAAGUGUCUACAAACAGAAAGUUGGAAUUUCUGAAAUUGAGGAAGAAACCUCACAAUUUCAGGAGCACGUGGACACACUGCGCCAGGCCCUGGACGAGAGCAAGAGGCAUGGCCAGGGCCUGGCCCAGCAGGGGCAGCUGCUGGAGGAGCAGGUCGCAGGCCUGCAGCGCAGGUGUCUGGAGGCGGAAGGCGUGCGGGAGCCCCUGAGGCAGGGAGCACCCCUACGGCAGAGGGUGGACACACUGAGAGAGAGAACCAGCCCAGCUCAGGAUGCAGCCUCGGGCCGCAGCGCAGGGAGCAGGCGGCGGGGGCAGCGCCGAGAGACACGUCCUGCCUGCAGGGGGCGCUCACAGGGCACCGGGCGCUGGUUCGCCGCUCAGGUGGCCAGCACAAAGGAGCAGCUGGACCAGGAAGGGCGGCAGCGGCGACACGACCACCUCGGCCAGACCCUUCCAACCAAGAAGUGAGCCCUGCUACCAACACUCAGGCAGUCUGGCCGCCACAGCCCUGACCAGCGGGCAGCAGAGCCACUGCUGAGAAAGCCGACGCCCUGUGCUGCUCGGCGGCCAGCCUCGAGGGGCACCGGGCUGACGCAGCCACGGCCCAGAGCCCACCCCUCACCCUGCAUGAUCCCCUGCAAGCAGUGUCCCCCCCGACCCGGCCCCCGGGACUCGGCCUCUGGCUGGCCUGGACUGCGCUUCGGGACACUGCUCUGGGACACGCCCUCCACAGCUGCACUGAGGCCCCUCGCAGCCCGCAACGGGCCUGGCACGGCUUCGGACCCUGGUGGCCAGGCCCCGUCAGGCCGGCUUCCGCAGCCUCCAGCUGUAUUCCGUGCCCUUAGCUCUGUAAACACGGGAAAACACGUGGAAACCAUUUCCACCACUGGAGCCAAAAACAUAAUGUCCUGCAAGGCCCAGCCACCACACCCCCACGCCCAGAGGCUGCAGGACCUUCCGUAUCCAGGAAGUGCAGGUCCGUCUCGGUGGCAGGUGGCUGGAAGUGACUCUGAAUCAAGCCCCUGUGGCUCGCGGGCCGUGAGAGGCCCUGGGGGUGAAGUCAAGGUUGGCGGAGGAGCACCCGCCUUCCCAGCCCCUAAACGCUGG